rnacentral:misc_RNA from 1 species
AUUGCUACUUUUAUGAAUGGAAGAAAGUAUUAGGUUUCUAGAAAUGCAUUUCAAUUGGCAAGAAAAAAUUUUGAAACUGGAGCCAUCUAUCUUUCUCUCUCUUUCUUUUUUUUUGUUUGGGAGGGAGAGUGUUGUUGCCAGAUGACUUAGGUAAAUAAUACCAAACGGCUGAAUUCUUUUAGGAUUGCAGCAUUAUCUUCAUGCUUCGAUGCUAAGAUACUGUUGUUCAUGUGUUAUGCAAGUUGCUUAAAUGUCUCAUAUCCUAGUGUGUAGUUUUAUUUUCUUUGCCAAGAGAGUAGAACUACUCCACCCCUUGCUAUCCAGAAACUUGCUCUAUUACAAUCCAUUUCCAAUUUAGCUAAAAAAAAACCAACUACUUUUUUGGGGGGAAAAGCCAAAUGACAUUCACCCACUCACUCACCUGAGAGCGAAGAUUUUCAG